rnacentral:lncRNA from 1 species
GCUUGCUAUAAUUUAUCAAUAUAAUUGAGAACUAGCACGAACAAAUUUUUUACUGAACAAGUUUCAAACAUGAACAAACAUUUCUGAACCAACUGGUAAUGAAGGUGAUCAGCCUUUCAUACCUGACUUAUACAUGCAAGAUGUACAGAGUACAAUUUUCAUGGCAAUCAGCAAUGAUUAACCAUAAGCUUGAAUAAAAC